rnacentral:tRNA from 1 species
GAGGGUAUAGCUCAGUGGUAGAGUGCCUGCCUAGAAUGCACAGAUCCUAAGUUCAAUCCCCAGUAUCUCCA